GGGCCCGCACAAGCGGAGGAACAUGUGGUUUAAUUCGAUGAUACGCGAGGAACCUUACCCGGGCUUGAAUUGCAUCUGAAUAUAGCGGAAACGUUAUAGCUAGCAAUAGCAGAUGUGAAGGUGCUGCAUGGUUGUCGUCAGCUCGUGCCGUGAGGUGUCGGCUUAAGUGCCAUAACGAGCGCAACCCUCAUCACUAGUUACCAUCAGGUCAAGCUGGGGACUCUAGUGAGACUGCCGGCGUAAGCUGUGAGGAAGGUGGGGAUGACGUCAAAUCAGCACGGCCCUUACGUCCGGGGCGACACACGUGUUACAAUGGAGGGUACAGCGGGAAGCUACCUGGUGACAGGAUGCUAAUCUUAAAAACCCUUCUCAGUUCGGAUCGGAGUCUGCAACUCGACUUCGUGAAGCUGGAUUCGCUAGUAAUCGCGCAUCAGCCAUGGCGCGGUGAAUACGUUCCCGGGCCUU
rnacentral:rRNA from 1 species